CGAAUAAGGAUCGCUAAAUCCGUGCCACCAGCCCCGUAUAUACGGAGGAUCCGAGCGUUUUCCGGAUUUAUUGGGUUUAAGGGUGCGUAGGUUGCAUAAGAAGUCAGUGUUAAAUACGAUAGCUCAACUAUCGCCGUGCCAUUGAAACUGUUAAGCUAGAGAUUGGUUGCAGCAGGCGGAAUGUGUAGUGUAGCGGUGAAAAUGCUUAGAUAUUACACAGAACACCGAUUGCGAAGGCAGCUUGCUAAGCCAUAUCUGACACUGAUGCACGAAAGCGUGGGGAUCAAACAGGAUUAGAUACCCUGGUAGUCCACGCUGUAAACGAUGAUAACUCGUUGUAGGCGAUACACAGUCUGUAACCAAGCGAAAGCGAUAAGUUAUCCACCUGGGGAGUACGACCGCAAGGUUGAAACUCAAAGGAAUUGACGGGGGCCCGCACAAGCGGAGGAACAUGUGGUUUAAUUCGAUGAUACGCGAGGAACCUUACCCGGGCUUGAAAGUUAGUGACGAGAGUGGAAACACUUUUUCCCUUCGGGGCACGAAACUAGGUGCUGCAUGGUUGUCGUCAGCUCGUGCCGUGAGGUGUCGGGUUAAGUCCCAUAACGAGCGCAACCCCUAUCGAUAGUUACCAGCGAUUAAAGUCGGGGACUCUAUCGAGACUGCCGGUGUAAACCGCGAGGAAGGUGGGGAUGACGUCAAAUCAGCACGGCCCUUACGUCCGGGGCGACACACGUGUUACAAUGGAUGGUACAGAGGGUAGCUACCUAGUGAUAGGAUGCCAAUCUCAAAAGCCAUUCUCAGUUCGGAUUGGAGGCUGGAACUCGCCUCCAUGAAGUUGGAUUCGCUAGUAAUCGCAUAUCAGCCAUGAUGCGGUGAAUACGUUCCCGGGCCUUGUACACACCGCCCGUCAAGCCAUGGAAGUUUGGGGUGCCUGAAGUGCGUGACCGCAAGGAGCGUCCUAGGGCAAAACAGAUAACUGGGGCU
rnacentral:rRNA from 1 species